GUUUGGAUCCGUCCGGUAGGAGGUCGCUCGGGGUUGGUGGCCCGCCUUGUUCUUGCUGGCGCCUCCCUUACCCCAGGGACGGUGUCCGCCCGUUUAUAUGCACCCCCUGAACGCGAGGGUCGGAGAUUCGCCCACGCCCCGUGUCGGCCACGCAUUCCCGUGGGGCGGCCGCGGGGUCGGCCCAAGCUGAGAGUCAUGGCCGCUGUCCCCGAGGCGUUUAAGCGCUCUCUACAAAGUCUGUAGGGGAAGCUGCUCCCGUCGGGGUGGCAGUCACAAUCUCAGCAGGCAACGUUGAGGCCCACGGAAGGAAGGGGCGAGGUGUCCAUGCUCCUGCCAGGGACUGGAGCACCGUGAGCAGCCUCCCGAGUCUCGCACUCUCACUUGCAAAACCCUGCACUGACUGCUUGGUUCUUGGGGGAGCCGGUAAUCGCGGGGCGACUUCCCAAAAUUCUUUAAGGGGUGUGCUUAGUUACCAUGUGUAAUGAGAGAGCAAGGUUCAGCCUCAGAGAGCUCCAGGGAGAGCUAAUCUUUUUCAUUCGUUUGUGGUAUAUGGAACUGGGGAGAGGCUGGAACAGCAAUUAGAAACCAGUCGUACAGCUGUCGAAGCCAAUGAACGAGCACUUCUUUUAGCAGCUGUACCUUUGUCCAGUGUCAAUGCCUUUUCACACGUAAACAUUUCACUUGCUCGGCAUCUUACCCAGACCCCUAAUAAGUGCUUUUUAAUGAACGAUUGGUUUUAAUAAACCGUGGUGAGCCAGACAUAUAAUGUUGAACAGAAGUCCUCUCACACCCAUAACCACUAGAGGGCAGGGCUUCACCUACUGAGUUGGUGAUCAUCCUACAGAGAACUCAAAAGAAAAUUUCCGUAUAUGCUAGAUGUGUUUUUCUCCAUCAACACUUAGACACUUUACAAAUUUGCUUUUUAUCUCAGGUCCUGUAACAUAUCGCAGUGUGCUCUCUAACCACACGUUCAACAUCAGAAUUAACGGACGGGGUUGCCUGUGUUUCUAUAUUUGUUCCCAAAACCUUCAGAGAUGCCUCUUUAUUGUGGGCAGAAGCCAGCAGCCUGCUAAACACCCACAGCAUGACUGGUGAUCCAAUCUUUUCCCAACAGACGAACACAAAGCAGACUUCAUUUCCACAGUUGUUUCAGGAUCACUUUUUCUGGGGCUGAGGAUGCAAGGAUAGCAGAGCUCACGUGGACAUCUCACAGGACUGCAAGUGCACUGGUGGAGUAAGCAGCCCAGGAGAGGGAGGAAAUGAACAGAGAUCAGGCAGAUGAAUGUAUUUAUAAAGGCAAGGCUAACUGCUAUAAUUAAUAAAUUAUGAGAUUUUGCUGGCUUAUAAUGGGGUAUACUUUUGCGUAUGUAAAAGUUCUAUGUGAGUGUGCCUGCUAAGCAAGGGUCUUUCUCCAGGCUGUGAUUCGGGGACACAGGCUCCUAUCAUCUUGUGGCUCUGGCAUUAACUAGGGCCUUUAAGUCUUCUGCAACCAGGUUAAAGAGGAAAGAAAGUGGAAAUCAUUCACCUCUUAACUAUUGUGUACUAGAAAUGAAACACAAAAUUUCCACCUGAACUUCAUAGUGAAAGCUAGUAAAAUGGCUCCACUUAGAUGCAAACAGUGGCGUGGGACUGAAAAAUAUGGUUCCUAUAGUUCAGGCACUUCCCAGAAACAUCUAUUUUCUGUGGAAGGGGACAGUUAGCCAUCACUGCCAAAAUGCAGCUGCAAGGACACUGGCUAGAGGAUGGUCUAGUGUUUGCUGGCUCUUUCUUAGUUUGACUUCAACAGCAGCAAGUAAAUUUUAUCUUUUAUUUGCUUUGAAAAGAAAUAGGUGAGAUUUCUUUAAAUAAUUCUCCAUGGACAGUCAUGAUUGCUGUUUAACAAUAGAAGAAACGAAAGAAGGAAGAAAGAAUGAGAAGGAAAGGAAGAAAAAAGAAAACGAAGAAUUGGAAAAAAAAAGAAAAGAAAACCAUAUGUAGUGAGUAUAGAAGGCAUUGAAAAAACCCACAAGUUAUUUCACAAAAUGUAAUGUUGGGGAAAAAUACAUGUUGGGAAAAGCAGAAAUAAUCUAAAUUGAGACAUAUUUACCAUAUUUCCAUGCCAUUAUUUCUCUAUUGGAGAGAUAUCUAAAGCACUUACAUACGUGGUAUUCAGAGUCUGAAAUAUAAGCUUACUCUUUAAAAAAAUAUUAUCUGGUAAUUAACUGAGUGCUUCCACUGAUUUUAUGUAUAUAUUUUAGAUGUUCCCAGUCCUGGGACUCCUGACCUUGGCCCUAAUGAUCACAAAUCUCACAAAGUCCACAUUUAUUGAUUCAAAAAAUACCAGUUGAAUGUCUAUCAUCUGUUAGGUAUGGUUCUAGGUGUUGAAGACACCCUCGUGAGUAAGAAUCACACAAUCACUGUUGUUGUGGAGUUUACGGUCUAGUGGUAAAACAGACAAUAAGCAAAUAGUUAUCCCUCAAACUCAAAAGAAUUCAAUAAUAAUAAGCACUGUGAAGGAAAAGUAGAAGGUCCAUGAAAGUAUAUAAUGGGGGGCAGUCAGUGAAGAAUUGCAUGAGGUGAUGGCACCUAAUCUGGGACUUGAAGGAUAAAAAGAUUUUGGCUAAAGAAUAGGGGAAACAGUGUUCUAAGCAGAAUAAAGAGUAAAUGUGAAGGACGAGCAGUAGGAAAAGGUUUGACAAAUUAGAACAGGAUAGAAACAAAGAGAAAGCCAGUGUGGGAGCUGAGAGGGACAGUGAGUAAUGUCAACUACAGUGCAGCAGGUGGGCAGGGGUCAGAUCAUGCAAGGUUUUGUGGGCCAAGAUAUGGAUUUUUAAUGUUAACCUAAAAAUGAGGAGGAGCUUCUAGAAGGAUGUAGGCAUAGAUGUCUUAUGAUUAUAAUUUCAUUUAAAAAAGACUACUCUAGGACUAGCCAUGUCAGACAUUAAAACAUCAUACAAUUAUUUUAAAAGUACUGGUAGAUGAAUUAAAUAGUACCUCAAUGGACAGAAAAGAAAGUCCAGCAGAAGACCCAGAUAUAUAUAGGAAAUCUGUUAUAUGGUAAAUUUGACAUUUCAACUAGGUGGGGGGAAAUAUAUUACUCAACAUUUUUAGAUAACUGAGUAACUCUCUAGAAAAAAAUAAAGUUGUAGCUAUACUUCAGAAAUUUGAGAGCACAAAAUGAAACCGUAAAAGACCCAGAAAAAAUUUUGGGAGAAGUAUACAAAAUAAUAUCAGGAGUGAGGAGUGCCUUUUCUGUGUGGGUUUCAAAAUGUAGACAUCAUGACAAUGAUGGUUGCUUGGCCUAGGCCUUGAGAUGGCAGUGAAUGGGUUCAAGGCAUAUUUUGGGGAUAGAAUCAGCAAGAGCAAGUGAUCACUGAAUGGGAGGAAUGAGUGUGGUGAGGAAGGAGGGGGAGAGUAGGAAUAUGUUAAGGAUGACUUAAUGAGUUCCAAAUUUAUAGUCUUGAGGAAUUCAGUGGGUAGUAGUGCUGCAUAUUGAGAUGGAGAAGAAGGGAGGAGGGAAUGUUGCAGGGAUAAUAACGAUUUCAGCUUUGGAUUAAAACAUUUUGUGUUUCAAAGAAUACUAUCAAAAAAGUGAAAAGACAACAGAGAGAAAAUAUUUGCAAAUAAUAUCUCC
rnacentral:lncRNA from 1 species